UACGUAGGGUGCAAGCGUUGUCCGGAAUUAUUGGGCGUAAAGAGCUCGUAGGUGGCCUGUCGCGUCGGCUGUGAAAACUCGGGGCUCAACUCCGAGCUUGCAGUCGAUACGGGCAGGCUAGAGUUCGGCAGGGGGAGACUGGAAUUCCUGGUGUAGCGGUGAAAUGCGCAGAUAUCAGGAGGAACACCGGUGGCGAAGGCGGGUCUCUGGGCCGAUACUGACACUGAGGAGCGAAAGCGUGGGGAGCGAAC
rnacentral:rRNA from 1 species